rnacentral:rRNA from 1 species
AACGAACGCUGGCGGCAUGCCUAACACAUGCAAGUCGAACGAAGGCUUCGGCCUUAGUGGCGCACGGGUGCGUAACGCGUGGGAAUCUGCCCUUGGGUACGGAAUAACAGUGAGAAAUUACAGCUAAUACCGUAUGAUGACGUAAGUCCAAAGAUUUAUCGCCCAGGGAUGAGCCCGCGUAGGAUUAGCUAGUUGGUGGGGUAAAGGCCUACCAAGGCGACGAUCCUUAGCUGGUCUGAGAGGAUGAUCAGCCACACUGGGACUGAGACACGGCCCAGACUCCUACGGGAGGCAGCAGUGGGGAAUAUUGGACAAUGGGCGAAAGCCUGAUCCAGCAAUGCCGCGUGAGUGAUGAAGGCCUUAGGGUUGUAAAGCUCUUUUACCCGGGAAGAUAAUGACUGUACCGGGAGAAUAAGCCCCGGCUAACUCUGUGCCAGCCGCCGCAGUAA